UGGGGAAUAUUGGACAAUGGGCGAAAGCCUGAUCCAGCAAUGCCGCGUGUGUGAAGAAGGCCUGCGGGUUGUAAAGCACUUUCAAUUGGGAAGAAAAGCUGAUGGUUAAUACCCAUCAGUCUUGACGUUACCUUUAGAAGAAGCACCGGCUAACUCCGUGCCAGCAGCCGCGGUAAUACGGGGGGUGCAAGCGUUAAUCGGAAUUACUGGGCGUAAAGCGCGCGUAGGCGGUUUGACAAGUCGGAUGUGAAAGCCCCGGGCUCAACCUGGGAAUUGCAUUCGAUACUGUCUGACUAGAGUAUGGUAGAGGGAAGUGGAAUUCCAGGUGUAGCGGUGAAAUGCGUAGAUAUCUGGAGGAACAUCAGUGGCGAAGGCGGCUUCCUGGACCAAUACUGACGCUGAGGUGCGAAAGCGUGGGGAGCAAACA
rnacentral:rRNA from 1 species